GGCAUUUAUGGGGCGUCAGGAUUGCAUUCCGGUGUGGAGCCCAGCUGCAGGCAAUCCUGACAGAGCCCCCCCUCCAAGGGCUACGUCCUCGGAGCCCCAACAGUACCAUCAGUGGAGGCGGCGGGGCGGACGGCGGCAACCACAGGGCUCCUGCCCUGCUGUAUCCUCCCCUUGGAGGACCCGGUCCCUCGGGCUGGCUCCCCGGCGUGGUCAGGCGUGGCGGCCCCGGUCCCUCGGGCUGGCUCCCCGGCGUGGUCAGGCGUGGCGGCCCCGGUCCCUCGGGCUGGCUCCCCGGCGUCGUCAGGCGUGGCGGCCCCGGUCCCUCGGGCUGGCUCCCCGGCGUGGUCAGGCGUGGCGGCCCCGGUCCCUCGGGCUGGCUCCCCGGCGUGGUCAGGCGUGGCGGCCCCGGUCCCUCGGGCUGGCUCCCCGGCGUGGUCAGGCGUGGCGGCCCCGGUCCCUCGGGCUGGCUCCCCGGCGUGGUCAGGCGUGGCGGCCCCGGUCCCUCGGGCUGGCUCCCCGGCGUGGUCAGGCGUGGCGGCCCCGGUGCCUCGGGCUGGCUCCCCGGCGUGGUCAGGCAUGGCGGCCCCGGUGCCUCGGGCUGGCUCCCCGGCGUGGUCCCGCUUGGCGGCCCCAGACCCUCUGCCUGGCUCCCCGUCGUGGUCCCGCUUGGCGGCCCCGGACCCUCGGCCUGGCUCCCCGGCGUGGUCCCGCUUGGCGGCCCCGGACCCUCGGCCUGGCUCCCCGGCGUGGUCCCGCUUGGCGGCCCCGGACCCUCGGCCUGGCUCCCCGGCGUGGUCCCGCAUGGCGGCCCCGGACCCUCGGCCUGGCUCCCCGGCGUGGUCCCGCAUGGCGGCCCCGGACCCUCGGCCUGGCUCCCCGGCGUGGUCCCGCAUGGCGGCCCCGGACUCCCGUACCUGCACACAAUAAUCAGGGCCGAUCCAUCUGGGUACGUGUGGGCCCUGUCUCCACAUGUCCCCUCUGACACGUCUUGUGUCACCCCCUGCACCGCGCAGGGAGAUUGUCCCAGAGCCUCCGGCGACUGUUCCAGGCACC
rnacentral:lncRNA from 1 species